AGUUGUUUAUUUUCUUUACAGCCUUAGGUGGAAAGAAAUUAAGUGCACUUAAGAUGGGAAUUAUCCACAUUUUUAAGCAAAAGCAUAAGCCUACCACAAACUCACAGGAGUCAGGCUUUGAAGCCUGUGAAGCAUUCACAUAGUAGGAAGCAUAGGCAAACUGGACAACCAUGAAGAAAGAGGAGAGAACUUAAAUACUUCUGUUUUUAUUGCAUCAUGGAAAACUGAUCAUUUAUCUCAUUAAGAGGGAGUAUUUUCACUGGAGAACUCCUAUUGGGUUUAUAAGCUUGCCUGCUGCUUGUGUUUUAGUGCCUGAAAGAGCAGUGUUGUCCCUUAGGAUAGAUGUUGGUCUUUGUGGCAAGGUAAGGAAGGUAAAUUAUUGAGAGAAUACUUUAAAAAAAAAAAAGAAGAAGAAAAAAAAGUACAUAAGUCUCUCUUUACUUAAACAGAUGUAGCAUAUAAAAUAAAUACAUGCAACUGCAAUUUAUCUUGCCUGCAGAAACCUCAUUUACAAGAGCUAAGUGUGUGCAGAGGGCUGGCUUGUAGUUAAGGGCUGCGACAGAAUCAAACAACAAAAAAAAAAAGAAUUAGAAGUUCCUUUCUCAAACUCUUGUUCUAUCCACAAGGGAAGCUGGGAAGUUGUUUACAAGGAUGCCCUGAACGCAUCCCAGCACAGGUACAGGAUGCCGGUCUUACAGUGCUGGUGGAUCAAUCAAAUGCUAAAUUCUAAUAAUUUUCACAAGAUAGCUAAAGAUGGAAGCAGAGGAGCCAUGGGACAGAAUGGCAUCUGACAUGGAAGUGCAGAUGAAGCAGAAGUGUGUCACUGAAUUCCUUCUUGUGGACAAAAUCACACCUAUUGACAUUCAUUGAUGCCUGUUGAACAUUUAUGGAGACCAGUGGAAGAGGUUUUGUUCUCAAUUAUAUAGAACAGUGAGCCAUUCCUUUCUUGGAGUAAGUAUUUUGUCUUUUAAACUACUAUACAAAAGGAAAAAGAAAAGGUCGCAUGAAUUAUGUGAACUGAAAUCCAUAGUACAAAAAUUUUGGAAAGAAGCUGUGGAAGAUGUAUAAAUAGCUUGGGAGUGUCUAUAAAGGCUGUCUCUGCAAUCUCCAGUCUUUAAGUAACAAUAAACUCUGUGCAUUAGAUCUUUCUCA
rnacentral:lncRNA from 1 species